rnacentral:rRNA from 1 species
AGUCUGCAACUCGACUACAUGAAGCUGGAAUCGCUAGUAAUCGCGAAUCAGAAUGUCGCGGUGAAUACGUUCCCGGGUCUUGUACACACCGCCCGUCACACCAUGGGAGUCGGAUAUGCCCGAAGUCAGUGACCCAACCAUAUGGAGGGAGCUGCCGAAGGUGGAGCCGAUAACUGGGGUGAAGUCGUAACAAGGUAAC